rnacentral:lncRNA from 1 species
GGCCGGGUCACCGGACACAUUUUUUAAACUAGAUACCCAAAAAAUAAUUGUGGCCAAGUGUGAAUUAAUUUAGCCCAGUAGUUUCAGAGAAGAAGAUUUUUGUAAAAGAUUACUAAGAUUUACGAAAAAUGGUUAAAAAUUGACUAUAAAGGGCAAUAACUCCUAAAGGGGUCAACUGACCAUUUCGGUCAUGUUGACUUAUUUGUAAAUCUAACUUUGCUAAACAUUAUUGCUGCAAACAGUUUAUCUCUAUCUAUAAUAAUAUUCAAGAUAAUAACCAACAAGAGGCUGUCACAACGACAGCAAACCGGAUUUAUUAAUAUUUAUUUGUGUCCUGGCAAUAUCACAAGAACCAUUACUGAUGAAUGGUGAAAGUGAAAAUCGUCAAUAUCAAAUUUGACCUCCAUUUUGUCAUCAGUAUCAACAUCUUAAAAUUUGAAAAGCUUAGAUUGAAUGGUUCAUUAGUAAAUGCAACAACGUGAAUGGAAACGCCAUUUCACAAUCUUUCAAGAACCAUAACUCCUGAACAGUAAAAGUCAAAAUCGUCAAAAUUGAACUUGACUUUUAAUUUGCCAUCAGUAACAACAUAUAAAAAUUUCAAAAGCUUUGGUUGAAUGGUUCAUAAGAAAAUGCACGGACACGAC